GUCAAGCUGACAACAACUCACACGUUUGCGGUUUAUUUCCCGAAGUUCAACCAUUUUGUGAAUUAGUUCCUCGUUUAUUGAUCACAUUACAAGUGAAUAAAAGAAUCCAAGAUCAUUGAUAGAAAGAAUGUCGUACGGAGGAAGAAGACCGUACGGUAGCUACCCUAGAAGGGAGUUGCCGCCCCUGUCCCCAACUUUUCGCCGUAACUAUGCUGAGCCUAACGUUCCUCCACGAGAGCCGAGCCGACCCGUCAUCCUGCCCAGCAUUGCUGACAAAUACGCCGACGGAGCUACCUAUCGUAGACACAGAAAAUGCUAUGCUCCUGAUAAUGCUAGGAGACCAGACCAGAGAAGGCGUCCCGUACCACGUACACGAACAUAUGGUGGGGCACUUGGCUUCAGAUCUAGCACAGACACAAGGCGCUACUAGCUCAUUUAAGAAAUUUCAAAUUAUCUAUGAAGAAAACUGCCAUUACGUUUCCCAGAGCUACUAUCUUUCCUAUCCGUGUACCUUAUACAAUAUUUAAUGUCAUCUAAAGUUCAUAGAAUGGUUCAAAUUCCUGGUCAUGCUUGGUAAGAAGGGACACACAUUCAUUUCAAGCUAAGUUAUCUGUUUACUUUUACAACAACCCAACAAAGAUAUUUCGCUACUUAUCAUUUUCCGCCGUAUAUCCCACUAUAUAUUGCUGAUAUGUUGUAUAACACAAGAUGGUGCCACUGACGCCAUCUUUUCAUUCUAAAUUACAUGUUUCUCUACUUUGCAAUUUAAUACCGAAACAUGUUAAUUUGAAAUUCAUACCGUACUAAAUUUUCUAAAGCUACAUUUAAAUGCAGUAUGCAUUGAAAACCUUUAAUUGGAAGAAAAAGAUCUUAAUAAUUUAAUGAUGUAAGUCUGUGCAUUUUAAACCACCGAAAUGUAUGUAGGUAAUGUUACAACAGGUUGUAAAAAGAUAUUGAAAUUGCUUUUUUUUUUUUUCAGGUAUUAUAAUUAGUGUUUUAUAUCAUAGCAAAACAAAUAAAGUAUUUUGGUAAAUGAUAUUUUUGCAAAAGCAAGAGAAAUUUGAAAAGAUGGGGGAAAUGUUUAUUCGUAUAUAUAGAUGAUAUUGUCACUUAUUGUAUUAAAUGUAAACUAUUAAUUAAACAUGCCUGGCCAUAAAAAGGUAAAUAUUGAAGGAUGUUUGAUCAUACAAGACAUCUUGGGUAUAAUUUCAUGGAAUAUAAUUUGGUAUAAUGAUAUUGGGGAAUAGCAUUAUUGUAGCAUAUGGUUGGGUUAUAACGUUGUUGGGGCAUCACGUUUUUCAGAUAUAACGUUCAUGGGGUAAAAAAAACAUCUCUUUUUUGGUUUAGCGGUGAUUAAGUAGAACAUUCCCGGAGUAGAAUGUUGUCGGGGUAUAGCAUCGUUAGGGUAUAACGCUGUUGGGUAUACAACGUUAUUAUGGAAGAACGAUAUUAAGGCAGAAGGCAAUGCGUUGUUGGGGUAUAUUGUAGUUGCAAUGGAACAUUCCUAGGAAUACAACGUGUUUGUGGUAGAAUGUUGUUAGAAUAUCAAGUUGUAAUGAAAAAACGUUGUGUGGUAUAACAAUGCAUGAGUUAUCAGUUAUAUUGCCAAGAUAAACGUUGCAGGUUAUCAACUUGUUGUGGUUCAACGUUGUAGGCCGAUCACAUUGCUCGUUCCUAGGAUGUAAAAUUGUUGUAGAACAGAGAUAGAAAAAACAAAAACAAAGCGAGCCAAAAAAGAACAUAGGGGAAAAAGAACAAAACGAAAAAUAAGAAAAAAAAAGCAAAAGAGAAAGAAAAAAACCCUAAAAAAAUUAGAAAAGAGGCAAUGGCUUUAGGAAAAUCGAAUAAAGUCAGAAAUAGGGAAUGUUGCGUCCAAUGCGGGUGUACAAUCUUAGCAACCAUUAACGUCAUAUAAAAUGUAAUAAUAAUAAAUAGAAAUUAUAACAUGGAAGUAUAAAGAAAUUAAGUAAUAGGAGGUGGUAUAAUGUUGUUUGAAUAUACUCUUUUCAGGAGAGAACGAUGUGUGUUACAACGUUGAUUAGGCAGAACGUUGGUGAGGUAUCGAGAUAGUCAUAAUGUUGUGUGGAAGAACUUUGUUGGGCCUUUAGUGAAUAGAACGUUCAUAGAAUAGAACGUUGUUGUAGCAUAACGUUAUAAUGGUAUAACGUUGUUUAGAUAUAACGUUCUGAGGAUAAAACGUUGUCGUGGCCUAACGUUGUUGGGGUAUAUCGUUGUUUGGAUGGAACAUUCUUAGGAUAGCACGUUAAUUUGGCCGAACGUUGGUGGGUAUAUCGUUGUUUGGAUGAAACAUUCUUAGGAUAAAACGUAGUCAUGGCAGCACGUUGGCAGGGAAUAUCGUUGUUUGGAUGGAACAUUCUUAGGAUAGAACGUUGUUGUGGCCGAACGUUAUUAGAUAUAGCGUUGUUUUGAGUUAACGUUCUGACGAUAGAAAAAUAUGGUGGUAUCACGUUGUGUUGGUAUAACAUUGCUGUUUUGAUAAACCGUUAGAGACAUCAAUAUCAUAUACAUCUCAGCAUAUUAUCCCCGCAACAUGAUACACCAUUACAGGAACAUCCAAAGAACUGUGUACCUUGGUUACCCUUCCAUGAAAGAAAAAGAAAAUAAGAAAGUAAAUACCAAGAAAACAUAAGCGAGAAAAAGAUGGAAAAAAGAAAAAGAGAAAAGAAAGAAAAAUGAAAACAGAAAAAAAAUAGAAAAAAGCAGAAGAAAAAAAAAGAGUAAAAAAAAAAAGAAAAAUUGAAAGAAAAAUAGAAAAAAAAUAGAAAAAGAAAAAGGACAUUGUUGGAAUAUCUAGAUAAUGCUUAUAACAUUAUGUGAAAAAUCAUGUUGGGCCAUCAUCGUAUUUGGAAUAGAACGUUCAUAGGAUAGAACGUUGUUGUGGCAGAACGUUGUAGGGGUAUGUCGUUGUUUGGAUAUAACAUUCUGAGAAGAGAAAGUUGUUGUGGAAGAACGAUGUGUUAGUAUAACAUUGCCUGGAUGUAACGUUCUUAGGAUCUUACAUUGCUAUGGCAGAGCCUUUUUGAGGCAUACCUUUGUCUGGAAGAAACGUUGUUGGGAUAAAUAGUUAUAGACAACAAUAUCAUAUAUGUGUCAGCAUUUUAUCCCAACAACAUGAUACCUCACGACAGGUUUAUCCAAGGAACAGUGUAUCUACCCGUCCAUUAAAGAAAAAGAAAAUAAGAAAGGAAAAGAGAAAAAAAGGAAAAGAGAAAAAAAGGAAAAGAAAAAA
rnacentral:misc_RNA from 1 species